UACGUAGGGUGCAAGCGUUGUCCGGAAUUAUUGGGCGUAAAGAGCUUGUAGGCGGUUUGUCGCGUCUGCUGUGAAAUUUCGGGGCUCAACCCCGAACUUGCAGUGGGUACGGGCAGACUAGAGUGUGGUAGGGGAGACUGGAAUUCCUGGUGUAGCGGUGAAAAUGCGCAGAUAUCGAGAGGAACACCUGCGGCGAAGGCGGGUUGCUGGGCUGACACUGACGCUGAACUGCGAAAGCUAGGGGAGCGAACGGG
rnacentral:rRNA from 1 species